rnacentral:rRNA from 1 species
UACGUAGGGGGCAAGCGUUGUCCGGAUUUAUUGGGCGUAAAGAGCGUGUAGGCGGCCUGGUAGGUCAGCUGUGAAAACUCGAGGCUCAACCUCGAGACGUCGGUUGAAACCACCUGGCUAGAGUCCGGAAGAGGAGAGUGGAAUUCCCGGUGUAGCGGUGAAAUGCGCAGAUAUCGGGAAGAACACCCGUGGCGAAGGCGGCUCUCUGGGACGGUACUGACGCUGAGACGCGCAAAGCGUGGGAGGCGAA